rnacentral:misc_RNA from 1 species
UCCUGGUUAACCCAGGCAGUCUCGUUAGAGUUCCCACCAUUACGUGCUGGCAACUAACGAUAAGGGUUGCGCUCGUUGCUGGACUUAACCAAACACCUCACGGCACGAGCUGACGACAGCCAUGCAGCACCUAUAUAAAGACCCUUUCGAGAAACGUCAUCUCUGACGUCGUCCUCUAUAUUUCGAGCCCAGGUAAGGUUCUUCGCGUUGCAUCGAAUUAAACCACAUGCUCCACUGCUUGUGCGGGCCCCCGUCAAUUCUUUUGAGUUUCACCCUUGCGAGCGUACUCCCCAGGCGGCAUACUUAACGCGUUAGCUCCGAUACAAGGGGGGUUGAGCCCUCUUACAUCUAGUAUGCAUCGUUUAAGGCAUGGACUAC